rnacentral:rRNA from 1 species
UACGUAGGGUGCAAGCGUUAAUCGGAAUUACUGGGCGUAAAGCGUGCGCAGGCGGUGAUGUAAGCCAGAUGUGAAAUCCCCGGGCUUAACCUGGGAAUGGCAUUUGGGACUGCAAGGCUUGAGUACGGGAGAGGCGAGUGGAAUUCCUGGUGUAGCGGUGAAAUGCGCAGAUAUCAGGAGGAACACCGAUUGCGAAGGCAGCUCGCUGGAACGUUACUGACGCUGAGACGCGAAAGCGUGGGGAGCAAACAGG